AAGAGUUUGAGAAAACUCCUUAAACCCACUGUGGACUUACGUUUCGUUGCUUCGGCAGGCGGCCCCAGGGCGGGGCCACCGCUUGUGAUGCACAAGCGCCUGCCGAAGGUAUUCUAAACUCAUAUUGUACUGUCAUCUGAGUUGCACAAGCAAAUUGUCA
rnacentral:misc_RNA from 1 species